UACGUAGGGUGCGAGCGUUGUCCGGAAUUAUUGGGCGUAAAGAGCUCGUAGGCGGCUUGUCGCGUCGGAUGUGAAAGCCCGGGGCUUAACUCCGGGUCUGCAUUCGAUACGGGCAGGCUGGAGUGCGGUAGGGGAGAUCGGAAUUCCUGGUGUAGCGGUGAAAUGCGCAGAUAUCAGGAGGAACACCGGUGGCGAAGGCGGAUCCCUGGGCCGUUACUGACGCUGAGGAGCGAAAGCGUGGGGAGCGAACAGG
rnacentral:rRNA from 1 species